rnacentral:rRNA from 1 species
UUGAAAGGGAAACGAUUGAAGUCAGUCAUGCUGGUGGGAAUCAACUUAGGGGAAACUCUAGGUGCACUUCUUCGCUUGGCAGGUUAACGUCGAUCUUGAAUGCCAUAAAAUAAUGGGGGAAGGUAGCUCCUUCGGGAGUGUUAUAGCCCUUGAUAGAUGUGAUGUUUGGGGUCGAGGAUUGCAACGGAUACCCUUUGGGGCUAGCCGCCUGAUCUCUAAUCGGUGUUGGGUUACGGAUAGCAUGCUGACCGUGAUCUAAUUACUGGUUAAAAGGUUAGAGCGUGCAUAAAUUCGUUAAGGAUGUUGACGUA